GGAAUAUUGGACAAUGGGGGCAACCCUGAUCCAGCAAUGCCGCGUGAGUGAUGAAGGCCUUAGGGUUGUAAAGCUCUUUUACCGGGGACGAUGAUGACGGUACCCGGAGAAUAAGCCCCGGCUAACUUCGUGCCAGCAGCCGCGGUAAUACGAAGGGGGCGAGCGUUGUUCGGAGUUACUGGGCGUAAAGGGCGCGUAGGCGGCGCUCCAAGUUAGGCGUGAAAGCCCCGGGCUCAACCUGGGAAUAGCGCUUAAGACUGGAGUGCUUGAGUGCGGGAGAGGUGAGUGGAAUUCCCAGUGUAGAGGUGAAAUUCGUAGAUAUUGGGAAGAACACCAGUGGCGAAGGCGGCUCACUGGCCCGCAACUGACGCUGAGGCGCGAAAGCGUGGGGAGCAAACAGGAUUAGAUACCCUGGCAGUCCACGCCGUAAACGAUGAGUGCUAGACGUUGGGGGACUCGGUCCCUUGGUGUCGCAGCUAACGCAUGAAGCACUCCGCCUGGGGAGUACGGCCGCAAGGUUAAAACUCAAAUGAAUUGACGG
rnacentral:rRNA from 1 species